rnacentral:rRNA from 1 species
CCUACGGGUGGCAGCAGUGGGGAAUAUUGGGCAAUGGAGGAAACUCUGACGCAGCAAUGCCGCGUGAAUGAAGAAGGUCUUCGGAUCGUAAAGUUCUUUAGGCAGGGAAGAAGUCAAUGACGGUACCUGAAGAAUAAGCUCCGGCUAACUACGUGCCAGCAGCCGAGGUAAUACGUAGGGAGCAAGCGUGGUUCGGAAUGACUGGGCGGAAAGGGUGGGGAGGCGGGUGUACAAGUUAGAAGGGAAAUACGCAGGGCUUAACUCGGGUGCUGUUUCUAAAACUGUAUGAUUUGAGUGCAGUAGAGGUUAGUGGAAUUCCUAGUGUAGCGGUGGAAUGCGUAGAUAUUAGGAGGAACAGCAGAGGCGAAGGCGGCUAACUGGACUGCAACUGACGCUGAGGCACGAAAGUGUGGGGAGCAAACAGGAUUAGAUACCCUUGUAGUC